CCAAGAUGGGGAUAGGUCUGAAUCAAGUGAAAGAUGGGUCAUAAUGCAUCAUAUCCUGCCCUCAAUCAGACAAAAGUAAUGGUAUUCAGCUGAGAAGAGUGAUGCAAUCAAAACAAAUUCAGACCUUAUUUGUUCAAAGUCACACACUCACUUGAUCCACUUUAGUCUAUGGGCAUAUAACUGUACAAGACAAAAUGCACAUUAUACAGGACUUUACAUGGUUCAUUUGUUAAUUGGAAUAUGAUUGACAAAAUCUGAAUCUUGUUCCACAAUUCGGAAAUAAUUUCUUCAAUUCGUAUCGGCUCCCAUAAAGUUUUGGAUGACUGGAUCUAGGCCAGCUACAGACUCUUCAUGGUGCAACUUGUCAUUGCCAGACCGGCACAAAACCAAGGGCAUGGCUGAAAUCAUCAGCAUGAUUUUAUAAAAGGAGCCUCUCUUCCCAUCUUAUGGAUUUAAAAUAUUCUGAUGGGGUUCUCAUACAACAGCUUCUUAAAGAAAAAUCUUCAGAAACAAAGAAGUAGACAUACAUUUGUAUCUAGAAUGGCCAGAAUAAGGUCAUUGUGUACCCAUAAACAAUUUCAAAUAAAACAAGAAAAAUGACUGUUCUCUGUAUUACAAAUACUCACAGAACUAUCAGGAUAAGACAUUACAUCUUAUUGCAUAUUAGAUCGUCGUAUACCAACAAAAUUUCAAGAGAAAAAUAUAUAAUUACAUGAAAGUGCUGCUUGUGUUACAAAUGAUACAACUAUGGGCAUAAUAAAAUACAAGGUCUUAUUUCAUAGCACAGAAGAGACUAUGACUUUGAAAAAGAACAUCUGCCAAGAUCCCGUACCUCAUGGUAGUAUGUGUUGGCCCAACUAGGGUUUAUAUAUAUAUAAUAAAAAAAAAAGAGAUAAAAAUCAAGUUUGUAAACGUAAAUUGGGUUUAUAAACACAAAAAAAAAAGAAGAUAAAAAUCAAGUUUGUAAACGUAUGCAAAUUGCAAAAAUAAUGAAGAAUUUAAAGCUUUAUGCAAAUUGAGAACUAGAGUGCAAGAGGUGAAAUUUUAUGUGUAAUAACUCCCAAAGAGUUGGAUUUACAAAUGAAGCUUACAAAGAAAGAAAUAAGAGAGAAAGGAAGCUUGACGAAUUAAAAUCUUUUCUUCUUCUCCAAUAUAGACUGAACUAGAAUGCUCUCUUUUUUAUCUCUUGAUUUUACUUUCAAACUCUAUGGAACUCUCUUUUACUGCAAUAUGAGGUAUGAACCUCCUUUUAUAGGCUUGAGAAGCCAUUUUUUCUGUUUGAAAUAAUUUGAAGCUUUAGAAACCCUUUUUCAACACAUGUAA
rnacentral:lncRNA from 1 species